UAAAUCUUAGUUUAAUUAGAAUGGUCGAUUGUUACUCGAUAGGUGGGCUUAGUUGCUCAGGUUUAG
rnacentral:tRNA from 2 species